rnacentral:rRNA from 1 species
GAUGAACGCUAGCGAUAGGCUUAACACAUGCAAGUCGAGGGGCAGCACAAGGUAGCUUGCUAUCUGGGUGGCGACCGGCGCACGGGUGCGUAACGCGUAUGCAACUUGCCCUAUACAGGAGGAUAACCCGUCGAAAGACGGACUAAUACUGCGUAUGCUCACAACUUGGCAUCAAGCGGUGAGGAAAGAAAUUCGGUAUAGGAUAGGCAUGCGUCCCAUUAGCUUGUUGGUGAGGUAACGGCUCACCAAGGCAGCGAUGGGUAGGGGAACUGAGAGGUUUAUCCCCCACACUGGUACUGAGACACGGACCAGACUCCUACGGGAGGCAGCAGUGAGGAAUAUUGGUCAAUGGGCGCGAGCCUGAACCAGCCAAGUCGCGUGAAGGAUGACUGUCUUAUGGAUUGUAAACUUCUUUUAUACGGGAAUAACAAGAGUCACGUGUGACUCCCUGCAUGUACCGUAUGAAUAAGCAUCGGCUAACUCCGUG